UGUGGAUUACAGUACAGUAAUGUAUUACAGUCAUGUAGCACUUCAUUUAUUGAGGCUGCUGCUGUUUCUCCAGCUACGAGACAGGUCCUGCAACAUCGACUCCCUUGAAGAGAAAACCUUUGCAAGUCCCAGCUCCAGCAUUGUCUAGCAUUGGUGCUUCUAGUGGAACAGACCGAGAUGAGCAUCUUGAUGUCAUUCCAGAAGCCACAGAAAUUCAGGGCCUUGAACAAAGAUUUUUGUGCCUCAAUAGAAUGGGUGGAGCACUGAAGAAAGCACACUCUAUCGAUGGACUUCCUUGCCUGCAGACGCUCCUGAUGAGCCUUCUCCCUGUGAUCAUGACCCUGUAUUCCCAGAACCACAGAAUGUUCUUUGUGAAGAUGACAUCAUAGGUGUCAGAGCCUCCAUAGUGUACAAGAACUGCUUAAGACAACUGGCUACAUUUCUGAUCCUGCCUGUGGAUAAAUGCACUGGCCUUCUGAGGACUGGUGCGCCGUGCAACUCUGUUGCACCCUUUGAGAUCAACAUCACCACCAAGGGCACAGCAGCUACUAUC